rnacentral:misc_RNA from 1 species
UUGAAGUUGAUUCGGGUUGUCGCUGGCUCUCAGGAGCAUGUGCACGCUCGUUCAUAUUCAUUCUCUCUUGUGCACCUUUAGCUAGACUAUGAAUACCUCUCGAGUGAAAAUCUCGGAUUGAGGGCUGCACCUAACCGUGCUUCCCUUGCAUUUUCAUAGUCUAUGUCUUCAUAUACCCUUUGUAUGUCUUUGAAUGUCUUUUUUGUGGGUCUUUGACCUAUAAAAUCUAGUACAACUUUCAACAACGGAUCUCUUGGCUCUCGCAUCGAUGAAGAACGCAGCGAAAUGCGAUAAGUAAUGUGAAUUGCAGAAUUCAGUGAAUCAUCGAAUCUUUGAACGCACCUUGCACCCUUUGGUAUUCCGAAGGGUAUGCCUGUUUGAGUGUCAUUAUAUUCUCAACCAUUGAACUUGUUUCUCUGGCUUGGAUGUGGGGGUUGCGGGCUUCGCAAGAGGUCGGCUCUCCUUAAAUGCAUUAGUGGAAACCGCUUGCAGGAUUCAUUCACUUUUUGGCGUGAUAGUAUCGUCGUCAAAGGUAGUGUCUCCGAGGUAUCUGCUUUCUAACCGUCCUUUACGGACUCUUAAUGACUUG